AUCUCCUACAAUAAAGAGAUAUGAACUGGCAUCUUCCUCGGCAACUGCAUUCCUUACUUCUCUUUCUCAUCAACAAAAGAGAGACCUAAGGGAAGAAUGUCGAGAGGGGUGUACAUAUGAAGAGGUCUGGGAAGUGGCUAAAGAAAGACAAUUCCUGAGAGCCCCUGAAAAAAGAAUUUCAAAACUGGUAAUCAGAGAAAGUUCGCAAGAAACUACAGGACAAAA